rnacentral:lncRNA from 1 species
GGCGACUUCAAAUCUGAUAUACUCGGUGCGGUAGUGUUCUUUAGUUCCAAUGGUAACUGGGAGGACGACUUGUCCUAGUGGUAUAGCUGCGUUUCCUGGUACGAUGCCGUAGAAGGGUGAAUCCGUUGGAGUGAGCAUUUCUGUGACGUCGAGGCACAUCUUUCGUAGUGUUUUGGCAAAAAUGACGUUGAGUCCACUUCUACCAUCGAUGAGUACCUUUG